rnacentral:rRNA from 1 species
AGGAAAAGAAACCAACAGGGAUUGCCUUAGUAACGGCGAGUGAAGCGGCAAAAGCUCAAAUUUGAAAUCUGGCACCUUCGGUGUCCGAGUUGUAAUUUGAAGAAGGUAACUUUGGAGUUGGCUCUUGUCUAUGUUCCUUGGAACAGGACGUCACAGAGGGUGAGAAUCCCGUGCGAUGAGAUGCCCAAUUCUAUGUAAAGUGCUUUCGAAGAGUCGAGUUGUUUGGGAAUGCAGCUCUAAGUGGGUGGUAAAUUCCAUCUAAAGCUAAAUAUUGGCGAGAGACCGAUAGCGAACAAGUACAGUGAUGGAAAGAUGAAAAGAACUUUGAAAAGAGAGUGAAAAAGUACGUGAAAUUGUUGAAAGGGAAGGGCUUGAGAUCAGACUUGGUAUUUUGCGAUCCUUUCCUUCUUGGUUGGGUUCCUCGCAGCUUACUGGGCCAGCAUCGGUUUGGAUGGUAGGAUAAUGACUAAGGAAUGUGGCUCUACUUCGGUGGAGUGUUAUAGCCUUGGUUGAUACUGCCUGUCUAGACCGAGGACUGCGUCUUUUGACUAGGAUGUUGGCAUAAUGAUCUUAAGCCACCCG